GAUGAACGCUGGCGGCGUGCUUAACACAUGCAAGUCGAACGGGAAUUAUUUUAUUUACACUUCGGUCGAUUUAAUUCAAUUCUAUUGGCGGCCGGGGGAUUAACUCCUUGUUAACCUGCCUUAUACAGGGGGAUAACAGUCAGAAAUGGCUGCUAAUACCGCAUAAGCGCACAGAGCUGCAAGACUCAGUGUGAAAAACUCCGGUUGUAUAAGAUGGACCCCCGUUGGAUACGCUUGUUGGCAGGGUAACCGCCUCCCAAGGCGACGAUCCAUAGCCGGCAUGUGAGGGUGAACGGAGACACUGGGGCUGGGACACGGCCCAGACUCCUCCGCGAGGGAGCAGUGGCGAAUAGUGCACAGUGGGGGAAGCCCUGAUGCAGCGACGACGCGUGAAGGAAGAAGUAUCUGGGUAUGUAAACUUCUAUCAGCAGGGAAGAUAGUGACGGUACCUGACUAAGAAGCCCCGGCUAACUACGUG
rnacentral:rRNA from 1 species